rnacentral:ncRNA from 1 species
CUGAUUAGCUAAUUGGUGGGGGUAACGGCUUCCCAAGGCCACGAUCAGUAGCUGGUCUGAGAGGAUGAUCAGC